UUGGCCCCACGGGACGCAGCAGUGGGGAAUAUUGCACAAUGGGGGAAACCCUGAUGCAGCGACGCCGCGUGGGUGAAGAAGAACUUCGGUACGUAAAGCCCUAUCAGCAGGGAAGAAAAUGACGGUACCUGAUUAAGAAGCCCCGGCUAACUACGUGCCAGCAGCCGCGGUAAUACGUAGGGGGCAAGCGUUAUCCGGAUUUACUGGGUGUAAAGGGAGCGUAGACGGCAUUGCAAGUCCGGAGUGAAAGCCCACGGCCCAACCGGGGGACUGCUCUGGAAACUGUAGAGCUGG
rnacentral:rRNA from 1 species